UACGUAGGGGGCAAGCGUUGUCCGGAAUCAUUGGGCGUAAAGAGCGUGUAGGCGGUUCGGUAAGUCGGCUGUGAAAGUCCAGGGCUCAACCCUGGGAUGCCGGUCGAUACUGCCGGACUAGAGUGCGGAAGAGGCGAGUGGAAUUCCCGGUGUAGCGGUGAAAUGCGCAGAUAUCGGGAGGAACACCUAUGGCGAAGGCAGCUCGCUGGGACGUUACUGACGCUGAGACGCGAAAGCGUGGGGAGCAAACAGG
rnacentral:rRNA from 1 species